rnacentral:lncRNA from 1 species
GUGAUUAUGAACUCUACACUGGAACCAGCUAAAAACCAUUUACCCAGAAUGGCAUGCCUGCAAUGCACUGGACUGACACAAGAGGAAACAAGCACAAUUUGAGCAGAAGACUCAAUAAUGUUGGCAAUAAAAAGAAACUUCCACAUCUUCUUGGUCAGAUGUCUAUGUCAUCCCCUGUCAUAAUUGACUUUUGUCAACCUUACACAAAUGUACACACUGCUUGGAAGAGAAAAUUUCAAUUGAGGAUUAUCUCCAUCAGUUUGACCUCUGGAAAAUAUAGUAUGUUUGUCAAGUUGGCUGCUAAAACCUGGAUACAGUAUGUAAAUACUUCAUAA